AUUGAACGCUGGCGGCAUGCCUUACACAUGCAAGUCGAACGGUAACAGGUCUUCGGAUGCUGACGAGUGGCGAACGGGUGAGUAAUACAUCGGAACGUGCCUAGUAGUGGGGGAUAACUACUCGAAAGAGUGGCUAAUACCGCAUGAGAUCUACGGAUGAAAGCAGGGGAUCGCAAGACCUUGUGCUACUAGAGCGGCCGAUGGCAGAUUAGGUAGUUGGUGGGAUAAAAGCUUACCAAGCCGACGAUCUGUAGCUGGUCUGAGAGGACGAUCAGCCACACUGGGACUGAGACACGGGCAAGACUCCUACGGGAGGCAGCAGUGGGGAAUUUUGGACAAUGGGCGAAAGCCUGAUCCAGCAAUGCCGCGUGCAGGAUGAAGGCCUUCGGGUUGUAAACUGCUUUUGUACGGAACGAAAAGCCCCGGGUUAAUACCCUGGGGUCAUGACGGUACCGUAAGAAUAAGCACCGGCUAACUACGUGCCAGCCGCCACCGUAA
rnacentral:rRNA from 1 species